ACCAUUACGAGUGAUGGAGCCCUGCCUUUCUGAGGAUGGCUAACACCUGCCUGCCAAAAGGAAGCGGUGAAUUAAUUCCUUAUUUUAUUUUACUUGUGUGCACUUGGCUUUUGUUUUACCUAUUGAACUGUCUUUAUCUCAACCCCUGAGCUUUCUCACUUUUAUCCUUCUAAUUGUUUCCCCCAUCCCACCAGGGCUGAGUGAGUAAGUGCCUGUGUGGUGCUUAGCUGCUAGCUGGAGUUAAACUCUGACAUCACCCUGAUGCGUAAACUGCCUGGCACUUAACAGGAUUAGAGAGCUUGAUCCUCUACAGUCCAAGCGUUUGAAUUUUUUUUACCCUUUGAAAAUUAUCUGCCAAUUGAAUGCAAGAGUAGCUGAUUCAUGAAAAAGAGGAAUGCAAAAUCUGGUCCUAGCAGUUGUGUACCUUUCCCAAAGUGCAGCCUCACAGAUCCAAGGCAGAAUAAUACUGAGAAUAGAAGAGAAAAUGAAGAUAAUAGGAGUGUUAUCU